AAGGUACUCCCUCCGUUCGGAAUUACUUGUUGCGAAAAUGGAUGUAUCUAGAUCUAGAUACAUCCAUUUCCAAGACAAGUAAUUCCGAACGGAGGGAGUAGCAG
rnacentral:pre_miRNA from 1 species